ensembl:snoRNA SNORD42 Small nucleolar RNA SNORD42
GUGCAUGUGAUGGAGAAGUUUUAAUCUCCUGACACUUGUGAUGUCUUCAAAGGAACCACUGAUGCAC